rnacentral:rRNA from 1 species
GACCUCAAAUCAGGUAGGACUACCCGCUGU